CCUACGGGUGGCAGCAGUGAGGAAUAUUGGUCAAUGGACGAGAGUCUGAACCAGCCAAGUAGCGUGAAGGAUGACUGCCCUAUGGGUUGUAAACUUCUUUUAUCUGGGAAUAAAACGUUCCACGUGUGGGAUUUUGUAUGUACCCUAUGAAUAAGCAUCGGCUAACUCCGUGCCAGCAGCCGCGGUAAUACGGAGGAUCCGAGCGUUAUCCGGAUUUAUUGGGUUUAAAGGGAGCGUAGGUGGUUUGUGAAGUCAGUUGUGAAAGGUUGGGGCUCAACCGUAAGAUGGCAGUUGAAACUGGCAGUCUAGAGUACAGGAGAGGUGGGCGGAAUUCGGGGUGUAGCGGUGAAAUGCAUAGAUAUCACGAAGAACUCCGAUUGCGAAGGCAGUGCACUGGACUGCAACUGACACUGAGGCUCGAAAGUGUGGGUAUCAAACAGGAUUAGAUACCCUGGUAGUC
rnacentral:rRNA from 1 species